rfam:Salmo salar isolate Sally breed double haploid chromosome ssa12, whole genome shotgun sequence.
CUCGUUGCUUUCUGUAAGUCGCUCUGGAUAAGAGCGUUUGCUAAAUGACUGGAA